GUACUCACUUCAGCAGUACACAUAUAAAAAUUGGAAAGAUACAAAGAUACAAAGCAUAGUGCCUACACAAAGAUGACACACAAUUUUGUGAAGCACUCCAUACAAUU